rnacentral:rRNA from 1 species
GUGCCAGCAGCCGCGGUAAGACGUAGGGCGCGAGCGUUGUCCGGAUUUAUUGGGCGUAAAGAGCUCGUAGGCGGCUCGUUGCGUCGGCUGUGAAAACCCACAGCUUAACUGUGGGCCUGCAGCCGAUACGGGCGAGCUAGAGUUCGGUAGGGGAGACUGGAAUUCCUGGUGUAGCGGUGAAAUGCGCAGAUAUCAGGAGGAACACCGGUGGCGAAGGCGGGUCUCUGGGCCGAUACUGACGCUGAGGAGCGAAAGCGUGGGGAGCGAACAGGAUUAGAUACCCUAGUAGUCC